rfam:Oryzias latipes DNA, chromosome12, strain: Hd-rR.
AUCCCGCCUGCCCAGUGUUCAGACUACCUGUUCAGGAAGUAGUGGUUGUACAGUAGUCUGCACAUUGGUUAGGCUGGUUA